CCUACGGGGGGCAGCAGUGGGGAAUAUUGCGCAAUGGGCGAACGCCUGACGCAGCGACGCCGCGUGAGGGAUGAAGGUCUUCUGAUCGUUACCCUCUGUCAGCAGGGACGAACGUUCACUGUGCUAAUCCGCCGUGAAUUGACGGUACCUGCAAAGGAAGCACCGGCUAACUCCGUGCCAGCAGCUGCUGUAAUACGGAGGGUGCGAGCGUUAAUCGGAAUUACUGGGGGUAAAGCGCUCGGGGUCGGUAUGUUAAGUCAAGGGUGAAAUCCCCGCGCUCAACGUUGGAAUGGCCGUUGAAACUGGCAAACGGGAGAGUGGGAGAGGAAAGGGGAAUUGAAGGUGUAGAAGUGAAAUCCGUAGAUAUC
rnacentral:rRNA from 1 species